GGACUCCUUCCUUCUCCCGCUCUCUUCUUGAUGGUACAGUUUCUGUAAGGACAUAGAAAACUUAUCCAUUCUUUCUCCACCAAUUUCCAAUACCUCUUAUUGCUCAAAGCUCCCUCCUUCAGCUUCAUCAGGAAUUUGGAGAAGAUCCGUCAGGCUUCAAGCCUUUUUUUUUCCCCUUCUUAUCUUUUCUUUCUUAUUUAUUUUUUGUUUUCUUUAUCUCCGUGUUUAGCUGACUUUGGAAAGGUUGAUUGCUUUUUUAGAUCUGUUGAAUCAUUUUAUUCGUGAGUCUUUCAAUGUAAUAUUGGGUUGUACUGUGAGUUUGACGAUUCCUAUGAGGACCUGUGUUGAUGAAAGAUAUAAUUUCCAGCACUGAUGUAGUUCAGAUUCAUGGGUUCAGAUAGUUUUAGUUUAGAGCAGAAAUCUCUUUGUUUUAAUGUUGACUAUUAAUCUCAGAGACCAGAGUUUUAGGAUUGCUUGGAUUUAGUAAACUAUUGUACUGUAUUAGUUAUUGGUGUUUGAUGUUCAUAUAGCUUUAUUUUCUAA
rnacentral:misc_RNA from 1 species